CGCCCAACAGCUAGCCCAAUCAAGCAAACCCAACAACCCCAUGUUAAUAACCCCUAAGUACCCCCGUAUUUAAAUUAAACAAACCAUUUUUCCCCCUUAGUAUAGGCGAUAGAAAAGGAUACUAACGGCGCAAUAGAGAAAGUACCGCAAGGGAAUGCUGAAAGAGAGAUGAAACAGCCCAGUAAAGCCCUAAAAAGCAGAGAUUAAAACUCGUACCUUUUGCAUCAUGAUUUAGCCAGUGUACCCCAAGCAAAGAGAACUUUAGUUUGACGCCCCGAAACUACGUGAGCUACUCCAAGACAGCCUAUAUAAUAGGGCACACCCGUCUCUGUGGCAAAAGAGUGGGAAGAGCUUUGAGUAGAGGUGACAAACCUACCGAACCUAGUUAUAGCUGGUUGUCCAAUAAAUGAAUAGAAGUUCAGCCUCUUUGCUUCUCUCUUCACACUAGUUUGACCCCUAUUGAUGCUUAAAGAAACCAAGAGAGUUAGUCAAAGGGGGUACAGCCCCUUUGAAUCAAGACACAACUUUGUUAGGAGGGUAAAGAUCAUAAUAACUAAAGCUAGAUGUUUCGGUGGGCCUAAAAGCAGCCAUCCCUUUAGAAAGCGUUAAAGCUCGGACAUACAACUUCCCCUUCUUAUUCUGAUCCCUCAAUCUUACCCCCCUAGCUGUACUGGACCAUCCCAUACCCCUAUGGGAGUGACUAUGCUAAUAUGAGUAAUAAGAGAGCCAAACACUCUCUCCCUGCACACGUGUACCUCGGAACGGACAACCCACCGACGAUUAACGACCCCAAACAAAGAGGGUAUUGGAUAGCACACCAAAAAACCGGAAAAGCCUCCAACGACACACCGUUAACCCCACACAGGUGUGCCCCCAGGGAAAGACUAAAAGAAAGAGAAGGAACUCGGCAAACAUAAAAGCCUCGCCUGUUUACCAAAAACAUCGCCUCUUGUAAAAUCAAAAAUAAGAGGUCCCGCCUGCCCUGUGACUAUUUGUUUAACGGCCGCGGUAUUUUGACCGUGCGAAGGUAGCGCAAUCACUUGUCUUUUAAAUGAAGACCCGUAUGAAUGGCAUAACGAGGGCUUAACUGUCUCCUCUUUCCAGUCAAUGAAAUUGAUCUUUCCGUGCAGAAGCGGGAAUACACUCAUAAGACGAGAAGACCCUAUGGAGCUUUAGACACCAAGGCAGCCUACGUUAAGCACCCCGAACAAAGGAUUAAACCAAGUUGGCCCUGCCCUAAUGUCUUUGGUUGGGGCGACCGCGGGGAAUUAAAGAACCCCCACGUGGAAUGGGAACACUUUUCCUACAACCAAGAGCUACAGCUCUAGAAAACAGAACUUCUGACCAACAAGAUCCGGCAACGCCGAUCAACGGACCGAGUUACCCUAGGGAUAACAGCGCAAUCCUCUUUUAGAGCCCAUAUCGACAAGGGGGUUUACGACCUCGAUGUUGGAUCAGGACAUCCUAAUGGUGCAGCCGCUAUUAAGGGUUCGUUUGUUCAACGAUUAAAGUCCUACGUGAUCUGAGUUCAGACCGGAGUAAUCCAGGUCAGUUUCUAUCUAUGUUAUGCUCUUUUCUAGUACGAAAGGACCGAAAAGAAGAGGCCCAUGCCGAAGGCACGCCUCCCCCUCACCUAGUGAAGUCAACUAAAAUAGGCAAUAGGGCAUGCCCCUGUGCCUAAGAGAAAGGCAU
rnacentral:rRNA from 1 species